UACGCAGGCAGCGAGCGUUGUUCGGAGUUACUGGGCGUAAAGAGUGCGUAGGCGGUUUUCUAAGUUUGGUGUGAAAUCUCCCGGCUCAACUGGGAGGGUGCGCCGAAGACUGGAAGGCUUGAGUAUGGGAGAGGUAAGCGGAAUUCCUGGUGUAGCGGUGAAAUGCGUAGAUAUCAGGAGGAACACCUGCGGUGUAGACGGCUUACUGGACCAUAACUGACGCUGAGGCACGAAAGCGUGGGUAGCAAACAGG
rnacentral:rRNA from 1 species